rnacentral:lncRNA from 1 species
UUACAUAUAUUGUGAUGAAUUUUAAAAGAAAAAUAUGAUUUUUGGAUAUUAGGUUCUGCAAGGGAUUUGUGAGAUUAAUUGGAUUUGUUGUGGAUCGCGUUCGAUGUAAGUAAUGAACUGCCUUCUCUAGACUCUUCAUUUAUAUAAUAUUAUUUUUACAUCGAAUAAAUUGUUAAUGAAUUUAUAUGUGAUUUAUGAAUUUUACAAGAUGAUGAUUUGAAUGAAAAAAUGGAUAUGUGAAUUGGAAUAACAUUUUUCGGAUAUAAUUAGUGUUCUUGCAUCGUAUAUGCAUAUUUAGAUCGGAUUAUGAUAUAUCUAUUUGCUACAAAAGAAUUUUGAUGUGCAUCAGAUUUAGAACUCUCAGCUUAGCUAUGUUCUGGACUCUGCCAAUAGGGGGUUAUGCAUUGGCAAUUCUGGCCCCACCACAGGGUAUAAGUGUGGUAUUCUGGCCCACACCGUAGGGUAUAAGUGCGGUAUUCUGGCCCACUCCGCAGGGUAUAAGUGCGGUUCUGUUUCUGGCCUAGCCACAGGGUAUAAGUGUAGUCGUAGCUAAAGGCUGAUGAGAUGAAUGUGAUUUGUUUCGAAUCAAAUUUAUGAUUAUGUAUAUGGAUAUUUGAAAAAUAUGAAUUUUAAUGAAUUUGUGCUUGAAAAGGAAUUGAUUAUGUUAUUAUGUUGAUUUAUCGUAAUUUGUAUUUAUAUUUUAUGUUAUUAUAUGAAUUGACUAGGUAAGGUGUUUAUUACUUACUGGGCUGUCUAGCUCAUUAUACAAUUUCUUGUUGUUUUACAGAUUCCGAGAACUAACCUAUCGGGGAUUUAAAAUGGGAGAGCGACUAGAAGAACUGAAGCACAAGUUAUCCUAGAAUAGGCUUUAUUUAAAUUGAUGUUUUAUAUUUAUUGUUCCGCUGCGUAUUUAGAACUGUGAGACUAUAUAAUUUGUGUCAGUCAAUGGAAUAAGAUUGCAUUUAUUUCAGCUGAAUUANNNNNNNNNNNNNNNNNNNNNNNNNNNNNNNNNNNNNNNNNNNNNNNNNNNNNNNNNNNNNNNNNNNNNNNNNNNNNNNNNNNNNNNNNNNNNNNNNNNNNNNNNNNNNNNNNNNCGUGACAACUUUUAUGGUAUCAGAUCCCAAAACUGGGCCCGGUCCAUUGACCGGCCCAGCCCAAAUUUUGGCCUCACGUGCGUCGCACGUGAGGGCGUGUAAGAGGGGGGGGAGCCAUCCCGAAGAAGCCGGCUCCCCCAGUCUUUUUAGGGCUUCUCCUCUCUUUGAAGGGGGCGGAAGAGGAGCCGCUGCCGCCCGAGAGGGAGAGAGAGGGAGCCGAGAAGCCACAGCGCGGACGAUCCUUUUCCUCCUCCGUUUGCCGCCGGAAAGAAGCCGCCGGAUCUUCGCCGGGGCUGAGGUAAGAUUUCUAGCUUCACCUCUUGGUUAUACCAUUUGAAAAGAAGAAGAAGAAGAAGAAGAAGAAGAGAGAGAAGGAAAAGGAGGGGGAGGCACCCGUGGCAAUCGGCUUGCCUUCGGCCACAGGCGCCGCCGGCCCUCAGUGACGGCCACUUUGAGGACCGGAGAGCACCACUUUCCCUUGUUCCUCUUCUCUGUUCAGUGAAAACAGAGAAGGAAUAGUGGAAGGAGAAAGAGAGAAAGAAAGAAAGAAAGAAAGGAGAAGAGAGGGAAGAAGGAGAAGGUGUGGGUUUCUCCCAUGCCCAUACCUCCUCCACGGGAAGAAGGAGAGAGCCGGCCGCUGUGGCCGCCGCCGGCCUUGACUUGGCCACUCCCGAGCUCGCCGACCUCCCUUCGCGGGAGAAGAAAGAAGAAGAAAGAAAGGGGGGAGGAGAAGAAGUCGGGAGAAGAGGAAGAGGAGAAAGAAAAAGAAAGAAGAAAAGAAAGGGGGAAGGAAGAAGGAAGUCGGGAGAAGAUUCCAGAGAAGAAGAGAAGAGAAGAAAAGAAAAAAAAGAAAAAAAAAAGAAAAGGGGAGGGAAGGAAAGAAAAGAAAAAGAAAAGAAAGAAAAAGAAAAGAAAUAAAGAAACAAAAAAUAAAUAAAUAAAUAAAUAAAGGGAGAGAGUGGUUUACGGGUAUGAACCCGAAUACAAACCCAAACUCGGGAUGUCGGACACUUCCGCGUGUUCGGCCCUGGGAGGAUGUUAAGAUUUGAGUUUUAUACGUAUAUUGUGAUGAAUUUUAAAAGAAAAAUAUGAUUUUUGGAUAUUAGGUUCUGCGAGGAAUUUGUGAAAUUAAUUGGAUUUGUUGUNNNNNNNNNNNNNNNNNNNNNNNNNNNNNNNNNNNNNNNNNNNNNNNNNNNNNNUAUUAUUUUUACAUCGAAUAAAUUGUUAAUGAAUUUAUAUGUGAUUUAUGAAUUUUACAAGAUGAUGAUUUGAAUGAAAAAUGGAUAUGUGAAUUGAAAUAACAUUUUUCGGAUAUAAUUACUGUUCUUGCAUCGUAUAUGCAUAUUUAGAUCGGAUUAUGAUAUAUCUAUUUGCUACAAAAGAAUUUUGAUGUGCAUCAGAUUUAGAACUCUCAGCCUGGCUAUGUUCUGGACCCUACCAAUAGGGGGUUAUGCAUUGGCAAUUCUGGCCCCACCACAGGGUAUAAGUGUGGUAUUCUGGCCCACACUGCAGGGUAUAAGUGCGGUAUUCUGGCCCACUCCGCAGAGUAUAAGUGCGGUUCUGUUUCUGGCCUAGCCACAGGGUAUAAGUGUGGUCGUAGCUAAAGGCUGAUGAGAUGAAUGUGAUUUGUUUCGAAUCAGAUUUAUGAUUAUGUAUAUGGAUAUUUGAAAAAUACGAAUUUUAAUGAAUUUGUGCUUGAAAAGGAAUUGAUUAUGUUAUUAUGUUGAUUUAUCGUAAUUUGUAUUUAUAUUUUAUGUUAUUAUAUGAAUUGACUAGGUAAGGUGUUUAUUACUUACUGGGCUGUCUAGCUCAUUAUACGAUUUCUUACUGUUUUUACAGAUCCGAAGAAUUAGCUCGAUCCGGGGUUUUACAAUAUGGGAGUGCGAAUAAAAGAAUUAUGGCUCAAGUUAUCUUAGAUUACGUUUUAUUUAAUUUAAUGUUCCAUCUUUAUUGUUCCGCUGCGUAUUUAGAAUUGUGAGACUUUAUAAUUUAUGUCAGUCAAUGGAAUAAGAUUGCAUUUAUUUCAGUUGAAUUAAUUUAGAAUUACAUAAUUGAGGUGUUUUGGUUUAGAUGCCUUGCAUGCUCGUGGGGAGAGUUUCCUACGGGUGUGCGGCGGUUGGCGCGGACCCCCGGCUCGCGAUCUCGGGCCGGGGGCGUGACAAAUACCCAUGUAAUUAAUAUAUAUUUUCAAGCAUGGCAACUAUCAAAGCAAGGGAAAAUAUGAAAGUGUAGUGUGCAUAAAAUAGUAUGACUUUUUCAGAGUACUAAUACCUCCACCACAACAUGGUACC